rnacentral:rRNA from 1 species
GCUCAGGACGAACGCUGGCGGCGUGCCUAAUACAUGCAAGUCGAGCGGACCGAAGGGAGCUUGCUCUUUUAGGUUAGCGGCGGACGGGUGAGUAACACGUGGGCAACCUGCCCUGCAGACUGGGAUAACUUCGGGAAACCGGAGCUAAUACCGGAUAACACCGAAAACCGCAUGGUUUUCGGUUGAAAGGCGGCUUUUAGCUGUCACUGCAGGAUGGGCCCGCGGCGCAUUAGCUAGUUGGUGAGGUAACGGCUCACCAAGGCGACGAUGCGUAGCCGACCUGAGAGGGUGACCGGCCACACUGGGACUGAGACACGGCCCAGACUCCUACGGGAGGCAGCAGUA